rnacentral:rRNA from 1 species
UACGUAGGGGCCUAGCGUUGUCCGGAUUUAUUGGGCGUAAAGAGCUCGUAGGCGGCUUGGUUAGUCAGGUGUGAAAUCUCCACGCUCAACGUGGAGGGGCCACCUGAUACUGCCAUGGCUUGAGUCCGGUAGGGGAGUGUGGAAUUCCCGGUGUAGCGGUGAAAUGCGCAGAUAUCGGGAGGAACACCCGUAGCGAAGGCGGCACUCUGGGCCGGUACUGACGCUGAGACGCGAAAGCGUGGGGAGCGAACAGG